ACAUCAGGUCUGGCCUAGCUCAGUCAGUAACUGCCAUCAGUAAAGUAAGAGCUCUGCAGGGUCUGGGAUGAUGAGAAGGAAGCGGCCAAGGAUUUUGGGAAGUCUACGCAAUCCUGUUCCCCCUAAGGAUCUUUCUCUGCCCUCUGAUCAACCAAAAAACAUUCAUUUCUUCCCACCUCAGACUCCCAUGCCUCAGCCUACCUUUCGUACCAACCCUCUUUUCGUUUUCUACCCUACCUCCUUCCCUGCCCUGAGGAACACUUCCUACUUCCCCACCUUAAUGAUUGCUAUGCCCAGCUCCUCCUGUGUAAACAAACUUUCCUCUAAGCACCCCUCUUAUUUCCAGACCCCUUCCUUCCUGUCUACCCUCAUGUCUACCUCUUCUCCAAGAGCACUGCUGGAUAGUUGCCUAGUUCCUCUUUCCCAUCUGGAAACUAGCUACUUUCAGCCAGAGGAGCAAAUCCUUCAGGAACUGAACAAGAUUUCUCUAGACCCAGAGCUUAAAAUUGGAGGAAGCAGAUAUGACCUCACAUCCUUGGUACCAGGGAAUCUGCAGCCAGGGACAGAGACUGGAAAUCAUGAAGUGGAAGAUGCUCAAUCCCUGGAUGAUCUUGAUGCCUUCACUCAGGAAACACUGGACAGAAUGAAUUGUCAUUGGUCAAGAACGCAAGUUUUACCAAAUAACAUUUCGGGAUGGAGAAACCAGAGGAUAAUAAUCUGAUGUGCACAGGCUGAGGCUGCCCUGUGGUCGGGCUGCCACUUGGAUCUGCUAGGACAUUCCAUAGCAAGUUCAUCAAGACAAAGAAGCACAGGACAGAAUCUAAACCCAAGGAAUGAUAUGGUACCAUCUACUGUUAUGAUGACUCUUAGCACACAAAAUUAGUGUGAUCAAGACAAUUAAUUCCCUACAUAAAUGUCACCGGACAAACCUAAUCUAGGGGAAACUGAAGUGACAGGACCUCAGGAUUUCUAAAUAACUUCAGGACCGAAAAUAAUGCCACUAUCCAAAAAGCUAAAAUAUGAUAUCUGGGAAAGAUGGUCAUCAGAAGCAGCAUUCAUCCCAUGUAGCCAUUCCAUGGAUAAAAUAAACAAAGUGGACAUGGUUCACAGAAAUGUUACAUUUGCAGAUAAAUUAAUAACUGAAUCAAUGUUACCUAUGGAUCUGUAAACAAGUUAAGAGAAAGGAAGUUAUUUUAUACUGGCCCUGCAGUCAUUACUAAAGGAAGAAAGCAUGCAUAAGCUUUUACCUUUAUUGAAGGGACAUAAUAUGUCAAAUUUUUGAGGAAAAAUUAUGAAAAAAA